rnacentral:rRNA from 1 species
UACGUAGGGGCCUAGCGUUGUCCGGAUUUAUUGGGCGUAAAGAGCUCGUAGGCGGCACGGUUAGUCAGGUGUGAAAUCUCCACGCUCAACGUGGAGGGGUCACCUGAUACUGCCGAGCUUGAGUCCGGUAGGGGAGUGUGGAAUUCCCGGUGUAGCGGUGAAAUGCGCAGAUAUCGGGAAGAACACCCGUGGCGAAGGCGGUUCUCUGGGACGGUACUGACGCUGAGACGCGAAAGCGUGGGGAGCGAACAGG